rnacentral:rRNA from 1 species
AGUAACACGUGGAUAACCUACCUAUAAGACUGGGAUAACUUCGGGAAACCGGAGCUAAUACCGUAUAACAUGUUGAACCGCAUGGUUCAACAGUGAAAGACGGUCUUGCUGUCACUUAUAGAUGGAUCCGCGCCGCAUUAGCUAGUUGGUAAGGUAACGGCUUACCAAGGCAACGAUGCGUAGCCGACCUGAGAGGGUGAUCGGCCACACUGGAACUGAGACACGGUCCAG